UACAGAGGUCUCAAGCGUUGUUCGGAUUCAUUGGGCGUAAAGGGUGCGUAGGCGGCGCGGUAAGUCGGGUGUGAAAUCUCGGAGCUUAACUCCGAAACUGCAUUCGAUACUGCCGUGCUUGAGGACUGGAGAGGAGACUGGAAUUUACGGUGUAGCGGUGAAAUGCGUAGAUAUCGUGAGGAAGACCAGUGGCGAAGGCGGGUCUCUGGACAGUUCCUGACGCUGAGGCGCGAAGGCCAGGGGGAGCAAACGGG
rnacentral:rRNA from 1 species